AAAAACUUAAGUGUUCACAGGUAUUGCAAGUCCAUGCAAGAUGAAGCAGGGAAGACAGCACCACACAUGUGGGGAAAGGUCCAGGGCAAACGGGAACACACUCUCAUAUUCAUUUUCUAGAAAGAAACCAGGUGCAGCCUUUCCCAGCCUCUGAGAUAAACUGGUGACCUCCUCCGAGCAGGACAGGAGAUGCUCAAUUUGGCUUUCUGGAAAUAGCCAGGCCAAAUAGCAGACAUGGUAAGAUACCUAUUUUUUUUUUACUAGUAUCUGGCUAAAAGUACACAAACAGAUCUAUGGAGAUGGUUUUUCCAAAAUUCUGUUGUUAGGAAUAUGGCCCCCGGGGACCUUGUUGAAUUCCAUGACAGACGAGGGACAAACAUUCCAGGCAGACAGAGCUUAAGUGAGAAGUUUUAUUAGAAAGGGAAAGGAGGGGGAAAGGAAAGAGACAAGAGGUAAAGAGACAGAGAGACAGGGAGAGGACAGAAGAGAAGAGGGAGUCAGGAAAAGUCCUAUCUUCCCCUUCAGGGCAACAGCAAGAAAGAGAACAGAGUACAUGCAGACUACGUGGUGACGGAGCAGCCAUGGAACUCUAGGCUGACCAGGGUACAGCCUGAAUGCAUUCUGCCAGGCAGCCAUCUAACUCCUGCCACAGCACUUGUCCAUAUCCUGGAAUGUUCCAGCAUUUGCCUCUGUUCAAACGAUCCCUCCAGAACCGUGCUACCCUGUCUUCCUUCAAACAUGCUGCGUUGCUCCCUUUCUACUGCCUUGAUAACCCUCCACUGCAUUAGCCCUUCGUUUGUUUACUUAGUGUGUGUGUGUGUGUGUGUGUGUGUGUGUGUGUGUGUGUGUGUGUGUGUGUGUGUGUGCCCAUGUGCACACCUGAGUGGAUUUGUACACCUCAUCUUCACAGGUGCCCAGGAGGUGAGUCCCCUGGAACUGGAGUCACAGGAAGUUGUGAGCCGCCUGAUGUGGGGCUGAGAACCAAACUCAGAUCCUCUGCAAGAGCACUAAACUCUCUUCAUAGCUGAGCUGUCUCUCCAGCUCCACAUUUGCCCUGUCUUUCCAGACCCCUGUAUUGUUCCUUUCUUGUUUGCUUGUUGUCUGUCUCCCUCACUUGAAUAGAUUUGAUGAAGG
rnacentral:lncRNA from 1 species